UGGCGAAGGCAUCUUACCAGAACGGAUCUGACGGUGAGGGACGAAGGCUAGGGGAGCGAUCCGGAUUAGAUACCCGAGUAGUCCUAGCAGUAAACGCUGUGAGCUAGGUGUUGCAUUUCUCAUGAGGACAUGCAGUACCGAAAGGAAGCUGAUAAGCUCACCGCCUGGGAAGUACGGUCGCAAGACUGAAACUUUAAGGAAUUGGCGGGGGAGCACCACCAGGGGUGCGGCGUGCGGUUUAAUCUUAUUCGACACAGAGAACCUUACUAGUGGCGACGGCAGGAAGAAGGUCAGUCUGAAGGGCUUACCUGACGAGCCGAGAGGUAGUGCAUGGCCAGCGUCAGCUCGUGCCGUAAGGUGUCCAGUUAAGUCUGGCAACGAGCGAGACCUAUAUCUACUAUUGCUAGCGGCCAUUUAUGGGACCGAGCACUUUGUAGGGACUGCCUUGGAAACAAGGAGGAAGGUGUAGGCAACGCUAGGUCUGUAUGCUCCGAAUCCACUAGGCUACACGCGCGCAACAAUGGUAAUGACAAUGGGCUGCGACUCCGAAAGGAGAAGCUAAUCCUCGAAACGUUACCUCAGUUCGGAUUGCGGAUUGCAACUCAUCCGCAUGACGCCGGAAUCCCUAGUAAUCGGACGUCAUCAGCGUCCGGUGAAUAUGUCCCUGCUCCUUGCACACACCGCCCGUCAAACCAACCGAGCAGGACUUUGGUAAACCCUACCCUAUUAGGUAGGUUGAACCUAAGUUCAGUGAGGCGGGUUAAGUCGUCACAAGGUAGCCGUAGGGGAACCUGCGGCUG
rnacentral:rRNA from 1 species